UUCAGGACUCAAUGAAGCAGAAAAACAAUGUUAGUCUUUGGUGGCCAGGGAAAAGGAGGAAAGCUCGUGGUGGUCUCCAGAUGAUCUGGCCCUGACUGAAGCAAUCUCCUUCCACGAGGAGGGAGCAAAGGGCUGGCAAGUGCAGGCUGUUGGAGAGCACUUCUGGCUUUUUUCCAGGGUACCUGACUGUCUUAUUGCAUACUGGUGUCAUCCAGGGCAUCCAACAUGAAGAUCUCUAAUGUUAAUGAUAAAGAAAAUUACUUCCCUGUGAUCGGGAUUGGAGUGAGCACAAGUGGCAUCACUGUUCUGUCAGUUUCCCAGGCAUGAUGGAACAGCCCAAAUCCCAGCUGAUCUGCAAACCUGUGCACUUCCCUCUGUAGCUGUAGUAGCAGUGUGGUGGAUUGCUUGUCUGUCCUUCUACCAGACUUACCACAGAGUCUAUUUGGCAACAUUUAAAGGCAAAUUAUGUGAGUAUCCCUCAGCUCUAGCUGAAUUAUAUAUUACC
rnacentral:lncRNA from 1 species